UACGGAGGGAGCUAGCGUUGUUCGGAUAUACUGGGCGUAAAGCGCACGUAGGCGGCGCCGUAAGUCAGGGGUGAAAUCCCGGGGCUCAACUCCGGAACUGCCUUUAAGACUGCAUCGCUAGAAUUGUGGAGAGGUGAGUGGAAUUCCGAGUGUAGAGGUGAAAUUCGUAGAUAUUCGGAAGAACACCAGUGGCGAAGGCGACUCACUGGACACAUAUUGACGCUGAGGUGCGAAAGCGUGGGGAGCAAACAGG
rnacentral:rRNA from 1 species